UACGAAGGGGGCUAGCGUUGCUCGGAAUCACUGGGCGUAAAGGGUGCGUAGGCGGGUUUUUAAGUCAGGGGUGAAAUCCUGGAGCUCAACUCCAGAACUGCCUUUGAUACUGAAGAUCUUGAGUCCGGGAGAGGUGAGUGGAACUGCGAGUGUAGAGGUGAAAUUCGUAGAUAUUCGCAAGAACACCAGUGGCGAAGGCGGCUCACUGGCCCGGUACUGACGCUGAGGCACGAAAGCGUGAGGAUCAAACAGG
rnacentral:rRNA from 1 species